rnacentral:rRNA from 1 species
GGAGGGGGCCAGCGUUGUUCGGAAUCAUUGGGCGUAAAGGGCGCGUAGGCGGCCUUGUAAGUCCGUUGUGAAAUCCCUCGGCUCAACCGAGGAACUGCGACGGAUACUGCUCGGCUUGAGUCCCGGAGAGGGUAGCGGAAUUCCCAGUGUAGCGGUGAAAUGCGUAGAUAUUGGGAGGAACAUCGGUGGCGAAGGCGGCUACCUGGACGGGUACUGACGCUGAUGCGCGAAAGCUAGGGGAGCAAACAGGAUUAGAUACCCUGGUAGUCCUAGCUGUAAACGAUGGGCACUUGGUGUUGCGGGUAUCGACCCCUGCAGUGCCGAAGCUAACGCAUUAAGUGCCCCGCCUGGGGAGUACGGUCGCAAGGCUGAA